AAGAAGAACCUAAAAAAGAAGAACCUAAGAAAGAAGAACCUAAGAAAGAAAAAGAAGAACUCAAGAAAGAAGACACCAUCAAAAAAUU
rnacentral:ribozyme from 1 species